rnacentral:lncRNA from 1 species
CUCAAUUAGAAGGCAAGACUUUCAUGUGUUGAAAGCAAGCCUCCACGUUUGUAAACAAAAAACUUUUGAAUAUUUAAUAAAAAAUAAAUAUAUUUCAAAGCAAAAGCUAUGGAUGAACAAAGCCCAGAAUUAUCAAAUCUACCAGAACAGGUAUAUUUAUUUAUGGUUAUGAAUAGCUAAAUUCAUAAAUUCCUGACAAUCAUGAUAUGAUAAAAUAAGUUCAUGUUAAUUACUUUAUAGUAGAAUUAUUCAAAAAAUAGCAUGUUAAGAUGUUUAUUAGCAAAGUGAAAAAGGGAAAAAAAUUCCUAAGAACUAUGUCAUCCUAAAGGUGAAAUCGGUGAGGCAAGAAAGCUGUGAUGGGGAGUAGCCAGAGUAGAGGCAUUGUUUAAGGAAAAAGUAUUCAGAUUACCAUACUAAUAGUGACCGAAGAAUAUGUUAUUUAAGAAUAAUCUAGUACAUAGUAAUCUAAAAUGAUCAUAUUUUGUUAUGUGUAUGAUUGAAGGGAAUAUUCUGAAAAAACAUCAUAUGAAAAAUGAAUACUUAUUUAUCUGACGAAAUGAUAGAUAAAUUUAAAAUACUUGUUUUGUAUGUACUUAAGGAUAUAGAAAUUGUAGAUAUAAGAAAAAUCAUAUUGGAAAAAAUAUUUGAUAAAUAUUUUAUGACUAGAAUAAAUUACAUACCUCACCUACCUAACUACUCUUAUAAAUACUUACAUACCAAACCUACACAUCAACCAUGAUAAAUUACGUAUAUUUAGAAUAUUGAAAAAUGGAUAUGAAAAAUAUACAAUUAAUAAAAAAAUUAAUGAAAACAAAUUUAGAAUAAUAUAUGAGAACCAGAGAUAUAAAAUAUAUAAACUCCCUUAAUGAAAAUAUAGAGGAAUUAAUAAGAUUAAAACAAACAAUUAAAGAAUAUUAUGAAAAAAUAUUUAAUUAACCCNNNNNNNNNNNNNNNNNNNNNNNNNNNNNNNNNNNNNNNNNNNNNNNNNNNNNNNNNNNNNNNNNNNNNNNNNNNNNNNNNNNNNNNNNNNNNNNNNNNNNNNNNNNNNNNNNNNNNNNNNNNNNNNNNNNNNNNNNNNNNNNNNNNNNNNNNNNNNNNNNNNNNNNNNNNNNNNNNNNNNNNNNNNNNNNNNNNNNNNNNNNNNNNNNNNNNNNNNNNNNNNNNNNNNNNNNNNNNNNNNNNNNNNNNNNNNNNNNNNNNNNNNAAAGAUUAAUUUGGAUAAAUAAAACCAUAAAACAACUAGAAUUAAAAGACCGUUUAGAAUAUGAUUUAGACAUGGAAUUAUUCAUAGACGAAAAAGACAGGAUAAUUAACGAAAUAGAUAACCUUGAAUUUAAUAUCAUAUAUAGUACAAUUAGAAUAAAUUAUUACAAAAAAAAUUGUAGUAUCACAACUACUUUAGGAUAAAAUGAUAGACUAUGAGUAUUUAAAAUAUUGGAGACAAGAUAUGAAAGAAAUAAAAUUAACAGAAAUACUUAUGAAAGAGAGUUUAAUUGAAUAUUUUAGAACAAAAGAUAUAGAAUAUUUAGAAUACCUCCAAAAUAAUAUACAAGAAUUACAAAGACUAAGACAAAAAACUAAAGAAUAUUACAUUAAAGCAUUUAAUCAAAUACCAUUUAAUUACCCCCAAGAUAUGAACAUUAAUAAAAUUAAAAUAAAUACACUAAAAAUAAAAAUGUUUAGAGAAGUUAAGAAAUAUUCACGCACAAAUAAAAAUAGAUCCAUUAGAACUAUAAUAGAUCUAUUUAUUAUUAGAGAAGUUAAAAAAUAUCCAACGCACAAAUAAAAAUAGAUUCAUUAGAACUAUAGUAGAUUUCUAUUUAUUACCCAAGUUAUCCGCACCCCCCUACAAUUAAGAUAAACUCUCAAACCGCGGAUCAUUAAUGUUGUGGUAAGUACUCCUUCAUCUCUAAUCAAAAUUUUACAGGUUGGAGUCUCUUUGAUAGAGAAUUAGUUCUCUUUGUGUUUCGCUAGGCACUAGAAUAUCAAGUCAAUUUGAUUGGAUUUUCUCGAAGAGAAAUAAAUAAAUAGUCGAUUUAUUCCUUUUUUUUUUUCACAAAAAAGGGAUAUACUACAAGAAAAAUGAUAGUCAAAUUAUAAUUAUGCAAUAUUGCAAGUAUAAGAUUCUUGAGAGAGAUGGAGGGGGGUAGAUUAUUUGACUGAUGAGAGGAUGAAAGCAAAAUUUGAUGUGAAUGUGAUGAAUUAUUUUUGAAAUUCUUGCACCAUUUUAAAUUUAUUAUUUACAAUGUAAAAUUUAUCUUACGUAUUUUGAUAUAAAUGUAUCAUGCACGUUCUCGUAUCAAUGUUUGAUAGUUGAAUAAUAUAGAACAACUUGAAAUUUUAAAAUUAUGAAAAUAACCUAGAAAAAUAUUGUAAGUAGAAUGAUUCAAAACUUAUUUUGAUAUUCCAAAAUAAAAACGUUUUCAUAUAAAUUCAUAACGAGAGAGUAGUGUAUAUUAGUUUAUGGACUAUGAUAGAGAUGGACUUUACGAUAAAAAUGUCAAUCAUUGACAUAUUACUUUCCCCACCAUAGAGAAAAAGAAACUAAAGAAUAACUUUCAAUUUCAAUUAAGAAUAAACACAUGGUUCACUAAUCACGAUUAAUAAUGAAACUUUCCCGUAAUGCUUGUAUAAUGUCCACUCGAGGACAAUUUGUAUGGUUUAGAUUGAAGACAACCCCUUAGAUUAAUUCGAAUAGUCAUUGAAAAUUUUGUCAACUACAAGUAUCAUGGAAUAAAAAGAGAAAAGUGAGGUAAUUGGAACAAUAAGAAACUUUCGUUGAUAUCAUUUUCAUAUCCAAAAACUUCAGUGGGCAAUUUAGCCAAAAAACCAAAGAAUAUAAUUUAGGAAAAAACGCAAACCACGUAACAGUAACAGAAAAGUGUUGGGGCCAACUUUUUAGUCCGCCACGCCUACUAAAAUAGAAAAUAUAACCCCAACUUAUUUUGCUCUCUUAUCCGAGACACUUUGGUUUUUUUUGAGGGGGAGAGGAUAAAAUAAUAUAAUUUUGAGAUAAAAUAUAAAAUUAUUUUAUUUUAUAUUGAUUAGAAUUAUUAGUUAAUUUUUAUUUAUUUAUUACAUCAGUAACGAGAUAAAUUAUCUCAUAUACAUUAUAAAAUAAUUUGCUUUAAAAUAACAUUUUUAGAAUUAGUUAUUUUUAUAAUAUUAUUUUUAUUUUAUUUUAAAAAUAAAAUAAUUAAUUAUAAUAAUUAAUUUUAAAAUAAUUAUCUCAAAUAACUUAUUUUUCUAUCAAACGAGGCCUUACUCGUUGCCCGUUUGCUGGCUAGGCCCAUCCCAAUAACUUCUUGAAUAAAUAAAUAAAAUUUUAUUUUCUCAAACCAAAGACGGAUCCAUCUUCAUAAAUUAUCAAUAUGAGGCUUUCCACACCCUUUUCUCAACAUGCUCAGGAUUAGAUAUUUAUAAUGUUUCAUGUAAAGAAGUAUAUUUUAGGUUUAUUUUUAAUUUCAAAAAGCUAAUAUGUGAAUUAUAAAUUAUUCAAAAUCAUAUAAAGAGAUGGUCAUAUGUUAACCCUGAUGUAUAACCCUUCAAAUCUCACCCACAAAAUUAAUAAUCCAUUACCAUUGUAUUUCCACUACCUUUUCCAUCUUAAAAACACUACUAAAUUGUCAUCGUCAUUUUUUUUUCUUUUUCUUCUUCUCGGCGAUGGUAUCUACGUUAGUACACGUAGAUGUGGUAUGAUAUUGAAACUUUGAUUCAAAAAUAUUAAUUUUUUUAAAAAAUAUAUCACUAUCAUAUUAAAUUAAUUUAAUAAAUAUUCAGUAUUUUAAAGAUCAAUUUUGAUAUUUUAUGGUUCGAUAAAACAGGAAUCAUAAUUUGUUCGAUUUAGAAAUUUAUAUACUUAUCUAAUAGAGAAUUAUAACUUUGACUUUAUAAUGAACGUCUUAAUUAUACCGUACUAACAUUUUAUGCAUGUAGAAAUAUUCAAAAGAAAGUAUAAGAAAUUUUCUUCAUUAAUGAAUUACACACAAAAAAAUAUUUUAAUCAAAAUAGAGUCUGAGUCAAAAUUUCAAUAUCUAAAUAACUAGUUUUAUAUUAAUAUAAAUUAUAUUUUAUAUAUUUUCUUGUGUUGAACUAAUAUACACAUGAAUUUAUUGUAAUUAUAUACUUUGAUAUUGGAUUCAAUAAUUUUUAAAAAUAAAUAUCAAAUAUUAAAAUUUUAUAAAAUAGAGAGCAAAAUAUCAUAUUAGUGAAAUUAUGUUACCAAAAUUUUUAUUCAAUAUGUAUCAUAACAUGCACAUCCAUGUCAGUAGAAUUUUUAAUCAAAAUUAUAAGAAUCAAGUACAAUUUCAUUGAUUAAUACAUAAGAAAAUAAAUGGUACCUCAAUUCGCUAUCUUAAUAAAGAAAAAGAAUAUUAGACAUAUAUAACUAAAAAAUAUAACAAAUAUUAUAUAGAUUGGGAUGAUGAAAGUUGCAUUUUAACCAUCUCAAAUAUCUCUAUAGACAUGAAGAUAAACUUUAGAGACACUAUAUAUUUACUCAAAUCAAAUAUGUUGUCCAUGUCAUUAUCAUUUCAUUUUCUCACGUAAAAUUUAAAUACAUUCAUCAUACAUCGAAAUCAGAUAUAAUUCCAAUUAACACUAUAUCACAUCAACAACUUUAAAAUGUUCAAUAAAAUUCAAAUUGUUUGUUCAGUUUAUCCUACAUUGCCAAAUUUAAAAAGUAAAAUCUGUUAUGAAUGUAUUUACAUUAUAGUGAAUGUUUAUCAAGAAUAUAGAUAAGAUCUAUCAAGAUCUAGUUGAUGUCUAUCAGGAUUGAAGUAUUUAUCUUUUAAAGAGAAAUUAGGAAUAUUUUUUCUUAUAAAUAGAGGGUUUUGUUCAUUGUAUCCUCAAUGAUCUCUCAUCCCUCAAGAGAAAUAAUAAUUAUUCUCUCUUCUUUCUUUACUCUUCGUCAUUAUUUUUUAUUUUAUACUUCAUAACACGUUAUCGGCACGAGUCUCUAAUUAUAUUUGAGUUAAUUAGGCCAUUGGACAAACCGUCCCAAAGAUAUCAAAGAUAUUAACACAAACAAUUGUUGGCAAGGAUGGUCCUUUUCAAAAGCAAAGUAUUUAUAUUAUAUUAUAUUAUAUUAUAUUAUAUUAUAUUAUAUUAUUAUAUUAUAUUAUAUUAUAUUAUAUUAUAUUAUGCAAGAGAUUGUUCAGUGGUUUUAAUAAUUUGUUUAUGUUUUAUUUUAUCAAAAAAAUCAUAUUCAUAUAUGGUUUUUAAUUCAAAUUUUGGAAUCGUCCAUUUAUUUAAUAAAUCCAUAUCUUGAGGUAAAUCUACCUUUUCGAGUUUUGUACUCUUAGUACUGACUUCGCCCAUAUCCAUGAUUAUAAAAGCCUUAUACCUAUGCUGAAAACUUCACCACACUUAACAUAAUUACUAUGAAAGUUCCUAGGCUCUAAUACCAUUAACAGGAUCUCACUAGGCUGGGGUAUGCCGCUCAACCUGCCAAACCAUGUAACAAUAUUGGAUUACGCCAAAGUUGGAAAACUGAACCAAAGCACCAACCGAAAUAUAAAAGAAUUUCAAAUAGUUUAAUGAUUGUAUGAAAUCUUUUAUCUAAACAGGGGGCCUACUAGAGAUUUAAUAGUCUUAUGUUAAACCCAUGUGUCUAGAAGUUCUAAUUGUGCAAAAGUCGCCCUUUUCGCAUCAGUACAAUGGGCUAAAGAGGCACAAUUUACUAGACGUAGUCAUAGAGAGAAAGCUAACAUAAGUGUAUUAAAGUCGACUAUACCACCAUUUUGGAACCAAGUCAAGAAACUAUAGAAAAAUUCCUUCAUAUUUUGAUAGAGUCUAGACCUUUCAUAGUUACCAUGUAAACGAAGUUAGAUUUUCAACAUAGAUAAAGAAGCCUUUUAACUGACAUAGUCAUGGCUGGACGAGGGUAGAAUUUGUAUUAAAUACACACAAAUAAGAAAAUAAUAUGUACCUUAAUAGCCAGAAGCAAGACCUAAAGAUAUUAAAAAACAGUGGCUAGUGCCUUUUUAUUUAUCUUCGAGAUAUAUUUUACAAGAGGGAGGAUCUAGAGAGAAGGGAGAGCUUUUGGAGAUAAAAAAUGAAAAGAAAAACUUGUUUUCCAAUGCCCAUACUUACUUUCGGAUUAAUCCAUAACCCUACUAAGAAAGGUGUAUUUAUAACAUCUAAACUCUCCUAAAUGUCUGCAUUUUAAACUAUUAAGGAGAGUUCUAAUGUUUUCAUAUUGAUUGAUAAAUCUACCUCCUAAAUAUUCAAUUAUUAUAAGCAUAAGGGUAUAAACAGCAUCUGGUCGACCUGCCCGUAGCGGUCGACCGAAAUUAUCUUUACUUGGAUUAUCAUUAGUGGCAUUAAAAAUAGCUUCGCAUUUAUCAUCAUCUAGGAAAUUAUCCCACCAGCCUCGAAGUAGGCCAGUAAAGCCCGCAACAAUCAUUUUGCAAAUUGUUGGGUCAGUACUGUUGAUCCGAUUCUCUGCUGAUGCAUUAGUUGUGGCAAUAGUAGAGUACAUUGACAUAUGGUGGAUAAGAAUAGAGAUUUGUCGGUCUGAUAAUCCAUCAAUAUUCCAUUCAUAAAUAGCAUCCCCACUACAAGAAGUAUUUGUUUGAUUCCAAUCCAUUUUCUCUAUCAAAACAUCUUGAGAAGUUGGACGUGGAUGAUACGCAGUGGACAUACGGGGAAUGUCAGUAUAUUUUUUCCCCGAUUGUUUUCUAACCAUACCUUUGAGCUUAUUUAGAUUGGAAGAGAUAGUAUCACCUACGUUUUGAAUAGAUUCUAUAUUAUCAGCAAAAUUAGACUCGAGUUUUUGCACAAAAUCAUCAGAUACAUCAAGAGGUUAUAUGUUUAAACAAGAGAAUUUUUUAUCUAAAAGUUUUUCUAAUUGUUCUAAUUGAGAAUUUUUUUCAAAUCCUUCAAUUUCAGGCGGUCUUUGAAUACAAGGUUUAGAUAAAAUAUAUCAUUCUUCUUCUUUGAUUUCGAAAGUAGAAGGAAUAUUAGAGGAAUCCAUCUGCUCACUAAGUUUUUUAACUAACUCAAUUAAUUCGUCAAGUUUUUUAUUUAGAGAUGAAAUAUGUUCUUCUAAAACUUUAACAUAUAGACUCAAAUAAUUAUUUUGGGUGAUAAGGUUAUUUAUUUCAUAAACAGUGAUUUUUCCAACAUCCUCAUCAACAAACUUUUGAAAAGCAGAAAAAGUCAUUCCAGUAUUAUUAGGUAAUACGAAGGAAUACUGAGGAGGCUACAUGGCUUGAAUAAUUGUACCAUCAGAAUUUUGAUAAGAUCUUUCAAUAAUUUUUACAUAGGACGGCAAAUAUGCAGACAUAAACCAUGGCACAAAAAAGAUAAUUUUACUAUGUAAGACACAUAUUUCAUAGAAUUCUUCAGAUAUAUUUCGUAAUUCAUCAGGACUAUAAGUUUCAAAAAAUCAUGUCCUAAAGGUUUUCCAUUUUUCACAAAGAAAUUCUUUUUGAAAUAUAAAAGAAUUUUAAAUAGUUUGAUCACUGUAUGAAAUCGUUUAUCCAAACAAGGGGCCUGUCUGAGAUUUAAUAGCCUUAUGUUAAACCCAUGUGUCCAGAAGUUGUAAUUGUGCAAGAGUCGCCAUUUUCAAUCAGUACAACGGGCUAAAGAGGCACAACUUACUAGACGUAGUCACAGAGAUAAAGCUAACAUAAGUGUAUUAAACUCGACUGUACCACCAUUUUGGAACCAAGUCAAGAGACUAUAGAAAAAUUCCUUCAUAUUUUGAUAGAGUCUGAAUCUUUCAUAGUUACCAUGUAAACAAAGUUAGAUCUUCAACAUAGAUAUAAGAAGCCUUUUAGCCGGACAUAGUCACGACUGGAUGAGGGUAGAAGUUGUAUUAAACACACACAAAUAAGAAAAUAAUAUAUACCUUAAUAGUCGGAAACAAGGCCUAAAAAUAUUAACAAACAGUGGCUAGUGCCUUCUUAUUUAUCUUCGAGAUAUAUUUUACAGGAGGGAGGAUCUAGAGAGAAGGGAGAGCUUUUGGAGAUAGAAAAUAAAAAGAAAAACUUGCUCCUCUUACAACUGAAUGAGGUAUCUUUAAAUAGGAAAAGAAAAAAAAUUUGCACAGUACUAGGUGGGUCCCUGUGCAUAGCAUAGUAAAAGUUUUUAAUAAUUUAGCUGUUGGGUUCCGCCUGAUCUUUGCCUUUUCAUUUUCUGAUAAAUGCUUCAACUUUUUCAAUAACUUCAUCUGUUUCACCCAUAACUUCUGGAGGUUGAGACUUUGUAAUAUCUUCAGUGUUUACUUCAUCACUUUUCAUUGAUGUAUCUGAAUUUUUUUCAAUCGUUUGGAGUAAUUUAUGUCGUACCUCUGCUAAGUAUUGUUCGAUCAUCUCCAUUUUAUUUCCAUCGUGAGCUGAUAUUCUUUUGGAAACAUAAUUGAGACUUUUAUCUUCAACUAAAAUUGAUUUUUGAGGAGUUUGUUCAUAUUCAGCAAUUCUUUUGAUGAUAUUUUCUCGUGAUCAUGUCCAUAUGUGAGUUUUGUAUUUGGAUCUUCACGUGUUAGCUUGUCCCAAAAAUUGCAAUAAAUAUUCUGUAUAAAGAAGGAAUUUUUUGGCUAGUAUAACCUAUUUCAACUGACCAUCUAUGAAUCCAAGGGAUAGAGAAUUCUAUAAAGAAAUACAUUUGAUCAAUAGUGUCGAUCUUACAAAUAUGUUCAGAAAGGUAUAAUUCAGUCAAGAAGGGUGAGGAUUUUUUCCAUGUAUGAUAAAGAGAAGAAUAUUCUAGUGGUAAUAUUUUAACGGUAAGUCCGUGAUAAGUCCACCAUUGCACAAAUAAAUUGGGAAUGGGCUUAUCAAAAAACCUCGGCACAAAUUUUUAUAAACCAUGUAUGUUUGUGUUUAAUAUUAUUGUAAUAUAAAACAUGAGAAAAUGCCUUAAUGUAAUCCCAAUAUGUGAAAUUUAUCUGAGACUGUCCCAUUGGUCCCAUAGGCAUAGAUUUUUGAGUCAUAGAUGAAAUUCUCCAUUCUUCAAUAGAAAUAAGUCUUUUCACAAUCAUCUUGGAGUAUCCAUCUACACUUGGGGUAGUGUCUCCCAUUGGACUGUGAUCAAAACCUGCACCGAAUGUAUGAACUAGAAUAUUUUCAUAAAAAGUUCGUAUUUUAUAUGAUUUUCCUGUGAAAUAAACAUUAGUAGUUAAGUAUUUUUGGAGUAAUCGCCAUGCUUCUUCAGAAUUUUCUUGUCCAGGAAUAUGCGGAUUUUUAAUAAGUAGGAUGAGUUCUCUAGCAUCCAAUUUCUCAUAUGUGGGUUUAUUUUCAGAGUUUUCUUGGACUAUAGAUGCAAAUGAAUCGGCAAAUUUUUGCAGAUCGGAUAAAUAAGAUUGAAGUUGUUUGUACAAAGGAUGAUCUUCUGGAAUAUCUUUCAAAUUAAU